rnacentral:miRNA from 4 species
UGGUCGACCAUAAAACGUACGU